rnacentral:rRNA from 1 species
AACCUGCCCAUAAGACUGGGAUAACUCCGGGAAACCCGGGGCUAAUACCGGAUAACAUUUUGAACCGCAUGGUUCGAAAUUGAAAGGCGGCUUCGGCUGUCACUUAUGGAUGGACCCGCGUCGCAUUAGCUAGUUGGUGAGGUAACGGCUCACGAAGGCAACGAUGCGUAGCCGACCUGAGAGGGUGAUCGGCCACACUGGGACUGAGACACGGCCCAGACUCCUACGGGAGGCAGCAGUAGGGAAUCUUUCCCGCAAUGGACGAAAGUCUGACGGGAGCAACGCCGCGUGAGUGAUGAAGGCUUUCGGGUCGUAAAACUCUGUUGUUAGGGAAGAACAAGUGCUAGUUGAAUAAGCUGGCACCUUGACGGUACCUAACCAGAAAGCCACGGCUAACUACGUGCCAGCAGCCGCGGUAAUACGUAGGUGGCAAGCGUUAUCCGGAAUUAUUGGGCGUAAAGCGCGCGCAGGUGGUUUCUUAAGUCUGAUGUGAAAGCCCACGGCUCAACCGUGGAGGGUCAUUGGAAACUGGGAGACUUGAGUGCAGAAGAGGAAAGUGGAAUUCCAUGUGUAGCGGUGAAAUGCGUAGAGAUAUGGAGGAACACCAGUGGCGAAGGCGACUUUCUGGUCUGUAACUGACACUGAGGCGCGAAAGCGUGGGGAGCAAAGAGGAUUAGAUACCCUGGUAGUCCACGCCGUAAACGAUGAGUGCUAAGUGUUAGAGGGUUUCCGCCCUUUAGUGCUGAAGUUAACGCAUUAAGCACUCCGC